GCCGGGCGUGAUGGCUCAUGCUUGUAAUCCUAGUACCUUGGGAGGCCGAGGUGGGUGGAUUGCCUGAGCUCAGGAGUUCCAGACCAGCCUGGGCAACAUGGUGAAAACCCGUCUCUA
rnacentral:SRP_RNA from 1 species